GAGGCUACACCUGUUCCCAUCUCGAACACAGUAGUUAAGCUCUCUUGCGCCGAUGGUACUGGGCGGGCAGCUGCCUGGGAGAUUAGGUCCUUGCCAGUU
rnacentral:rRNA from 1 species